GAGAGAUUAGAAGCUUCCAGGACCAACAAAAACUAAGAAUUUGUGAUCACCAAACCAGCCCUACAAGAAAUAUUAAAAGGGGUCCUCUAAGCAAAGAGAGAGUCUAAA